GGAAGAUUGGCAGAGUGAUCGAAUGCGCUGGACUCGAAAUCCGGUAUACCGCUUUUUGGUAUCGGGGGUUUGAAUCCCUCAUCUUCCGCAA
rnacentral:tRNA from 2 species